GGCGGAAUGGCCGAGCGGUCUAAGGCGCUAGAAUCAGGCGAAGACGUCAUCUAGUCCGAAAGGGCGUGGGUUCGAAUCCCACUUCCGUCA